rnacentral:rRNA from 1 species
UAGUCCAUGCCGUAAACUAUGAUUACUCGAUAUUGAUUUAUUUCAGUGUCUAAGCGAAAGCAUUAAGUAAUCCACCUGGGAAGUACGAUCGCAAGGUUGAAACUCAAAGGAAUUGACGGGGGCCCGCACAAGCGGUGGAGCAUGUGGAUUAAUUCGAUGAUACGCGAGGAACCUUACCUAGGCUUAAAUGCAUAAUGACUUAUUUGGAAACAAAUUUUUCUUCGGACAGUAUGCAAGGUGCUGCAUGGUUGUCGUCAGCUCGUGCCGUGAGGUGUCGGGUUAAGUCCCAUAACGAGCGCAACCCCUAUCCUUAGUUGCCAUCAGGUCAUGCUGGGGACUCUAAGGAAACUGCCCGUGUAAACGGUGAGGAAGGUGGGGAUGACGUCAAAUCAUCACGGCCCUUACGUCUAGGGGCUUCACACGUGCUACAAUGGGCAGGGUACAGAAUGUAGCGAUUUAGCGAUAAAUUGCCAAUCAUUAAAACUUGU